rnacentral:rRNA from 1 species
UACGUAGGGGGCAAGCGUUGUCCGGAUUUACUGGGCGUAAAGGGUGUGUAGGCGGUUGUUUAAGUUUGGUGUGAAAUCUCCCGGCUCAACUGGGAGGGUGCGCCGAAUACUGAAUGACUUGGAGCGCGGGAGAGGAGAGUGGAAUUCCUGGUGUAGCGGUGAAAUGCGUAGAUAUCAGGAGGAACACCGGUGGUGUAGACGGCUCUCUGGACCGUAACUGACGCUGAGACACGAAAGCGUGGGUAGCAAACAGG